rnacentral:rRNA from 1 species
UAAGGAAUAUUGCUCAAUGGGAGAAAUCCUGAAGCAGCAACGCCGCGUGGAGGAUGAAGGAUCUAUGACUUGUAAACUCCUGUAAAGAAGGAAAAAAUUCCCAUUAGAUGGGAGAUGAUGGUACUUCUGGAGUAAGCCCCGGCUAACUACGUGCCAGCAGCCGCGGUAAUACGUAGGGGGCAAGCGUUGUCCGGAUUUACUGGGUGUAAAGGGUGCUCAGGCGGAUUUGUAAGUCAGAGGUGAAAUCUUACAGCUUAACUGUGAAACUGCCUUUGAUACUGCAAGCCUAGAGUAUGGAAGAGAGUGGUGGAAUAUCUGGUGUAGCAGUGAAAUGCGUAGAUAUCAGAUAGAACACCAAUGGCGAAGGCAGUCACUUGGUCCAUUACUGACGCUAAAGCACGAAAGCGUGGGUAGCAAACA